GCUACUUCUGCGAUUUCUGUGACUCCUGCGAUUGCUGCGACGUACCACCGUAUGAAAAAGUUACAUCUGUCCACACAGAAAAUUGCAUCUCAACAAACCUGUCAUUGGUACCUGAACUACAUUUCAGUCACUCAGUAAAGUGAUAAUUCAAAAUAUCAUUGUCAACAGAUCUGAAGAAAUUGCCAGUCUUUAGACCAUUUUCGUCAGACGACAGACGCAGUUCUGACUGAUUACUGGUUGCUAUACAUAUCUAUCCACAUCAAGGCUGUUGAGAGAGACUCGUGAAGAUUCAAGAGAGCUCUUAGAGGAUUUGCAGUUUAAAAGUGAAAUAAU